AGCGCUUGUUUACGUGAACAAACCCUCACAAUCUCCCCUUCACCGCAGAGCACUCUCGGGGUCCUACCUGGGAGCCAGGGGGUCCUUAACCUGCCGACUGUGGCGCUGCCGGGGGCCCGAUCGCUAGUGAAGAGAGACAGAAGGAGGAGAGGAGAGAUUGAAACGAACGACAAGACCGCAGAAAAUCCCCCUUGUGUGCGACUGACUCUAAGCGAGACCCGUCGAGACUGGGGAGGUGUCACCGUGGAACAACAGCGCCCCUCGGUGGACAGGAGAGGAACAACAGCGCAACCCUGUGGACAGGAGAACAGAUCCCCCCUGUGGACAGCAUAGUAACAACAGCUACCCCCGGGGAACAGAACAGCGCCCCCCGUGGACAUGAGAGGAACAACACCCCCCCCUCCAGGACACCUACAGCGCCAUUAAACAGUACCAUUUAUAAGGAAAUGUUUUUUAUACAAAAAUAACUUUGAUAUAAAGUGUUAACUAUUUAUAACCCCUACUUAGUCUUGAUAAAAGGUAUGAGGUAUAAUUAUUAAUAUUCCUUCAUUGUUUUUGUUAUGGCAUUUUUGUUUGUCUGUUGUAGAUACAUAGUUAAUCAAAACAAAAGUUCUAACCUUUGUCACUUGUCUUUUUAAUGAACUUCAUUAACAUAUCUCCCCUUGUGUUGUCUAUUGUAAAUUAUUUUCUAAAAUAAUGAAUAACCUUUUAAGCAUUUGGUAUAUGUAAAUUAUCACUAACAGUUUGACUAGCAUGCUAACUUAUUAAUUUGUUUGAUUAAAACAAGAGUCUGGUAAUAUUUGAACUCAGUUGAGUGUUUGUUUUGAUUUUAUUUUGUUUUGUUUGACAAAAGAAACAGUCCCGGCAAUACUGUAUGACUUGAUACUUAAAAUAAAAACACGACAGUAUAAUAUAUAAAACAAAUCGGAGCAGAAGUAUCGAAGGCUACCCAGGAAAACAGUCCAAUAGCAUGAAAUCAACAAAAC
ensembl:lncRNA